AACGAACGCUGGCGGCAGGCUUAACACAUGCAAGUCGAACGCCCCGCAAGGGGAGUGGCAGACGGGUGAGUAACGCGUGGGAAUCUACCCAGAUCUUCGGAACAACUGAGGGAAACUUCAGCUAACACCGGAUACGCCCUACGGGGGAAAGAUUUAUCGGUUCUGGAUGAGCCCGCGUUGGAUUAGCUAGUUGGUGGGGUAAUGGCCUACCAAGGCGACGAUCCAUAGCUGGUCUGAGAGGAUGAUCAGCCACACUGGGACUGAGACACGGCCCAGACUCCUACGGGAGGCAGCAGUGGGGAAUAUUGGACAAUGGGCGAAAGCCUGUUCCUGCCAUGCCGCGUGAGUGAUGAAGGCCUUAGGGUUGUAAAGCUCUUUCAGUGGGGAAGAUAAUGACGGUACCCACAGAAGAAGCCCCGGCUAACUUCGUGCCAGCCGCCGCCGUAAAAC
rnacentral:rRNA from 1 species